rnacentral:rRNA from 1 species
UGCGUAGGCGGUUUACUAAGUCAGAUGUGAAAGCCCCGGACUUAACCUGGGAACUGCAUUUGAUACUGGUAGGCUAGAGUAUGAUAGAGGGGGGUAGAAUUCCUGGUGUAGCGGUGAAAUGCGUAGAUAUCAGGAGGAAUACCAGUGGCGAAGGCGGCCCCCUGGAUCAAUACUGACGCUGAGGUACGAAAGCGUGGGUAGCGAACA